UACGAAGGGGGCUAGCGUUGCUCGGAAUCACUGGGCGUAAAGCGCACGUAGGCGGGCUCUUAAGUCGGUGGUGAAAUCCUGGAGCUCAACUCCAGAACUGCCUUCGAUACUGAGAGUCUCGAGUCCGGGAGAGGUGAGUGGAACUGCGAGUGUAGAGGUGAAAUUCGUAGAUAUCAAGCGGAACACCGGUGGCGAAGGCGGCCUUCUGGACAGUGACUGACGCUGAGACGCGAAAGCGUGGGGAGCAAACAGG
rnacentral:rRNA from 1 species